CCCUUAGAUGUUCUGGGCCGCACGCGCGCUACACUGAAGGCAUCAGCGUGUCCUUCCCUCCCCGAGAGGGGCGGGUAACCCGCUGAACCGCUUUCGUGGUAGGGAUCGGGGCUUGCAAUUAUUCCCCGUGAACCAGGAAUUCCCAGUAAGCGCGAGUCAUAAGCUCGCGUUGAUUACGUCCCUGCCCUUUGUACACACUGCCCGUCGCUACUACCGAUUGAACGUUUUAGUGAGGUAUUUGGAUCGGACCUGAAGGGGUUCACGCCCUUUCUGUGUCUGAGAAGACUCCCAAACUUGAGCGUUUAGAGGAAGUAAAAGUCGUAACA
rnacentral:rRNA from 1 species